AGACUAUAAAUGCUGGUAUCUAUUCCACCCUCUGCAAACUUGGGCUAAUCCAUUGGCUCACAGAGUACCCAACGAUUCAGUUCUGGACCUUGUGCAAAGGAAGUCUGGACAUUAUUACUACUCUGAACUCCUCUUUUGUCCAUGGGAAGAUGGUGGUGUCACCGUAAAGAGAUAGUGGAUGAAAAAAUGAAGUGCGAGGGGAGCAAAAGCGAGAACGAACUCUCUCCCUGAUGAGUUUCCGAUGACAGAGGGCUCAGAAGAGACGGCAGAAAUCCCGCUGCGUUUGCACCGUGCCAGCCUGGAAACCUGGUUGAAAAAUGUUGUCAAAUAGUAUAUAAUGGAUCAUGUUCCAUUUCUUUUCCUUUCAAAGCCUCCGUAAGCAGGAACUUCACAGAGCUGCUGGAGGAGAGCGUGUGCCCUCAGCUGCGAGCUCUUACUGUCCUGAUAACCUUUUAUCCCUUUGGCUCAUAGAAAGCGAUUCCCACCUUUCAGUUAUUUUCACCUGAACGGUGCUUUUCUCUAAGAUGCAGCAUCUCUUUUCUUAUUUGGAAACGGAGCCAUUUGCUUGCCAAGGGACACCCUUAUAUCAUUGGGAAAAUAAAUUUGAUUGACUUCUUGGUGUCUUUUAGAUCAUUGAUCUCAAUUCAGUUGAUAGAUGCCUUCCUCAGCUUUUGGAGUUUUUUCCCCUUCUUUUGCCUUUCAUAUGAACAUCUCAAGUGGUUUGUCAACUCUGUUUACCUUUUCCUGUGUGAUUUGCUGAAAUUUAUAACAGGAACUAAUUAGAACAAAUAAAAGUUAAGCAAGAACGUG